rnacentral:rRNA from 1 species
AUGGGCGAAAGCCAUGACGGAGCAAUACCGCGUGAGGGAUGACGGCCUAUGGGUUGUAAACCUCUUUUUUCAGGGAGGAAUAAAUGACGUGUACCUGAAGAAUAAGCAUCGGCUAACUCCGUGCCAGCAGCCGCGGUAAGACGGAGGAUGCAAGUGUUAUCCGGAAUCACUGGGCGUAAAGCGUCUGUAGGUGGUUUAAUAAGUCAACUGUUAAAUCUUGAGGCUCAACCUCAAAAUCGCAGUCGAAACUAUUAGACUAGAGUAUAGUAGGGGUAAAGGGAAUUUCCAGUGGAGCGGUGAAAUGCGUAGAUAUUGGAAGGAACACCGAUGGCGAAGGCACUUUACUGGGCUAUUACUAACACUCAGAGACGAAAGCUAGGGUAGCAAAUGGGA